UACGGAGGAUCCGAGCGUUAUCCGGAUUUAUUGGGUUUAAAGGGUGCGUAGGCGGCAUGCUAAGUCAGGGGUGAAAUUCGGCAGCUUAACUGUCGGCGUGCCUUUGAUACUGGUGUGCUUGAAUGCGGAUGAGGUAGGCGGAAUGAGACAAGUAGCGGUGAAAUGCAUAGAUAUGUCUCAGAACUCCGAUUGCGAAGGCAGCUUACUAAGUCGUGAUUGACGCUGAUGCACGAAAGCGUGGGGAUCAAACAGG
rnacentral:rRNA from 1 species